AAAAUGACUCUCGGCAACGGAUAUCUCGGCUCUCGCAUCGAUGAAGAACGUAGCGAAAUGCGAUACUUGGUGUGAAUUGCAGAAUCCCGUGAACCAUCGAGUCUUUGAACGCAAGUUGCGCCCGARACCUUUAGGUUGAGGGCACGUCUGCCUGGGUGUCACAC
rnacentral:rRNA from 1 species